GGUAGGUCUGCCUUCCUGAUGAGCACAAGAAUGCCAGUCAGUCCCUGAGCUCUGCUCUGUGCAGUCUCCUGGGAUAGGUUCUGGGGACACAAGGAAGAAUCAGACCCGUCACUCCUCUCGAGGAGCUCAAUGCCAAGUGACAGAGAAAGGCUGGAUGGGCAAUUAUAAUAAAGUGUGAUGAGGAUGCCUAAUGGUUCUGCCUGCCCUGGGCACCUGUGCCACACUGGCUCCAACUGCUGUGAGCUCUGAGAUGGCAAGAAUGGCCAGAAAUAGAAGAUGGAGAAAAGUGUAGGGAGUUGAUGUCUUGAGGGAUAUACUCAAGACACUAGUUUGUUGUUAGAAAGACUAAGAAGGCCAGAGAAGGAAUGGAAGACAUAACCAAGGGGAGCUCAGGUUCCACUGCCACCAGGGAACAGCUUCUGAGGUUCUAGAGAAUCUGGGCCCUUCACUCCAACCCAGAACCUGCCGCUCAUCGGUGGGUGAGCCAUCUUCAACAGGAAGCCGGCACUUCUGCUGGGCACCAGGUGACCCCAUCUAACUCCCCUUCCCUUCCACCCACAAUGGCUCUCUCCUCCAUUCCCUCUGCAUAGUCUUCUCCUUCCUGAAAAAAGAGGCAAAGCAGAAAAGGAAGAGGAAUAGAAAACAAACCUGGAACAAAGCUAAAGAGGAGCAAAGAAACCAGAUAGAGGAGAGGGGUGGUAACAUUGCAAGGGACCCUUGGCUCUAAACCAGUGACACAGCUUGGUUUUUCCAAGGGUGCAGCUGGAGCUGGAGUCCUCUGCUUCAGGGUCAAGUCAGGUGAGGGUCUUCCCAAGAGCCUGAUGAAAGGUCCUGGGGAGGGCUAAGGUCACUGCCCUGAGCUCUAGCCCCAGCCCUACAGACCUCCCUUUCAAUGCAGGUGGCGCUCUGAGCCCAGAGUGCCAGCCAGCUUGGAGCGGGGCCAGACUAACAAAGGCUACUUGGGAGUCCUUCCCUCAUCAGGUGCCCGUCCUGCACCAGAAUUCUUGUGAGGCUUCUGGUCCCGCCUGACUCUGAGGAAGCGCAUGGGAGGAUUCAGAGACACAAUAGUUUACUAGCUUGUCUUCUGCUUGAGACGAUUCUGCACUUCAAAUUGCUCCAAUUCAAACUCCUUGUGAUUUUUCUGGGCUGCUGGGAGGAGAGCGUAUUGAUUCUGUUUUUUUUUAUAAGGUCAGCAGUGAUCAGCUCUGACAGCAAGUGGAUAGCCUGUCCCCUUCCCCCUCCACUGGAUGUGGUUCCACAUGCAGAAAAGGAAAGAGAGGGAUAAAGACAGGGAGGAGGAGGCAGCAUCCUUUGUCUUGGUGCUUCUGAAAACCUCUUGAAGCCCCAUCAGCACAAGCAGGCUCCUCUCAGGUUGCAGGCUCGUAGGAGCAGUACGAGCACACUUGAUCUCUUCCGUGUGCCCUUUCACUUGCCUCUCCCUCUGUGCGUUGCUGCCUGCAGCCUACUCUCCUAGAUGGUGACUCACUUUCCUCCAAAGAACCAAUCAAGUUCCAUGUAACAUCGACAGACUCCUGAUGACACUGAUUAACGUUCUGAACCUGUAGGAUUGUUUAGACUGAAAUGACUAGGAGGGCACAGAGAAGGCCCCUCUGAGGUUUCACACAGCUGAUUUUAGCUUGAUGAGAAAAGGGCUUGGAUUGGUCUCACUUUGCUGAGGCCUUGGGAGGGGAGGCUGCCCAGAGCUCCCUCCCCAAGAAAAGUUCUCAGCUCCCCAGGAGUGGCAGGCAUGUUGCCACUCCAACCUUGCCAGCCAAGGGCUGACUCUCCUUGGAGGCCUCCCAUAGAAUGCAAAACACUGUGUCUAUGUGUGUCUGGAUAUUUGUCUAAAAAGAAGAUCCAGAACUUUCAUCAAAUUCUCCAAAAGACCCAUGAUUCAGGAAAGGUUAAGAAUGAUCGUUCUACAGAAUCCUUUCAAAGAUCCUUUAGAAUGUGUCAGGCUCCCGAAGCCACCUUCUAGCUGGCAGUGACAUGGGAGGUGCCCUGAGGUGUCAAGGCCUAAGAGAAAGAGCAAUGCCUUAAGUGGGCCUGGGUGAGUUAGCACAAUGCUACUGCCCUGAUGGUUGGAGGGUCCAGCUGAGAACAAGCUCCACGACCAAUGACUUGAAGGGCCUGCUAACCAGUGGAAAGGAGUAUGAAUACUGUACCCAUGUCACAAGAAGCAAUGGUCCCCUGCACCGAUGUUGCUUGGAUACCAGCUGCAGACCUCUGUUCAGAUCCAAGUGCCAUGGGAUUUGAACCAAACUCAAAUAUAUUCAGAGCCACUCACCAGGAUGGUAAAGGGUCUGAAAUCACAACAUCAAACACAACAGCAAUCACAGCUACUCUGAGAGGGAGCUACUCUGCCAGGCACAAUGCUGGGUGCCUCAGGCACAGGAUCUCAUUCAACACGACAAUCCUAUGACGUGCCUACAGCUCCAUAUUACAAACGGGGAUGUUGGGAUUCAGAGACAGAACACGUUCAUGGUCACAAGAUCAGUACAUGGAGAUGGUUGGGUUUGAGCUGAUGUCUGUGUAACUCCAAAGCCUGUCCUUCAGGAACCAUGCCCUAAAAGGAACCAAGUCGGAACUGGGGAGCAGCUUGAAGAAGAGAACCUGCAGGAACACAAGAACAGACGACGGAGUAAACUAUUGCUGCAAAGGGAAGAACUGCGAAUAAGAAGGGAAGACACUAGAAGGCAGAUUUGGGUUAUAUAGAGCUCUGUUGUUGUUGUUGUUGUUGUUGUUGCUGCUGUUGAUUUCCCCACUAAAGCCUCUACUAAGAGAAGCUUUAGGCCAUUUCUUGAACAGAGAAAACCAUGGUUGCAGACUCCAGAAGGGACCAGAAGUAGACUCAUGAUUCAGAAAGUUCGACCUGACUGGGAAAAACUCAGCGUUAACAGAGUUUUAGUUAAGGUACAGUUGCUGCUGCGACAAACAAACUCAAACAUGUGUGCUGGUUCCGACCUGAUGGAGACUUAUUUCCUACUUGUGUAAAGUGCUAAAUGGAUGUUCCUAAUCGGUAAGCAGGUCUCCUUGGAGUGGAGAUUUAGGGACCCAGGCUGUUUCCAUCUUGUGCUUCCACUACCUUCAACACAUGGCUUCCCAGGUCACCGUGCUCGUCUCCAUCAAGCCAGCAGAAAGGGAAAGAUCACGGAGACUGGAUUUAGGAUGGGUUAUGCCAGGCCUGGAAAUGGUGCCCGUCACUUCAGCUCACCAUCCAUUUACAGGAACUCGGUCACAUGGUUACACCUAACUGCAAGGAGAACGAGAGUCCAGGGACAAUGGAAACACUUCUCUUAGUCAGUGGCAAGCAGAAUCCUGCAGGGUGAGACACUGUGCCCCCAGUAAGAGGAUGAGAAGGCUAGACAAGUGAAAAUGGGUCACCACGAGGUGCUCUGCCAAAGAGCCCAGGUCCUUGCCGUUCCUGUGAAGUUUCAUGAAUGUCUUGCCACACUUGAAAGGAAAAGUGGAACUGGUGUUUAUCAGGUUGCUGCUUUAAAGGUGUUCCUUUCUGAGCCAUCAAGGAGGUUUCAAAGAAGUUUUGAAGAACCCCCGUGCCAUACAUGUCCUCAGAGCUGGGCAGCUGAUGUGGGAUCUAUGUAGAUGCCUGAGCUUGCAAGUGCCAACAUCUAAGAAAUAAAGGAGGGUUUUAUGAGGUUCAGCCCCAGCUUGUGUCAGCUGCAAGGUUGUAAACAAGAAGAACUCUAGCUCCCCCAGUUGUUUCAACGUGAGUUCAGACCUGGGGCAGGAGAUGUUGGCUGGAGGUCAAGAAUCUGUGUCCAAUCCAAUUACUACUGAAACAGCAGGGCCUGACCAGCUGUUGCCCAAAAGAUGUGCUUACAGGUUACCUCCUGAGAUGCUGCUCUGCUCCUUCAGGCUGCCCACGUGAGUCCCUUCCUUCAACGCCUCAAGACACUGUAAGCCCAAAGGGACUUUCCAGGCACCAAACCUGGUAGAGGGAGGCUCACUCUAUCUCUGCCUCUAUUUGGGUUUACUAACCUGAGUAAGUUUGAGACCCUCACACUGAGGCUGUGUUUAGGAAUGCUUCUGCAAG
ensembl:lncRNA